rnacentral:rRNA from 1 species
GUGCAGCAGUCGAGAAUCUUCCACAAUGGACGAAAGUCUGAUGGAGCGACGCCGCGUGCGGGAUGAAGGCCUUAUGGGUUGUAAACCGCUGUCAGGGGGAAGAACAUCGGAAUGAACAAUACUCAUUCCGACUGACGUUACCCCAGAGGAAGCUCCGGCCAACUCCGUGCCAGCAGCCGCGGUAAUACGGGGGGAGCAAGCGUUGUCCGGAAUUAUUGGGCGUAAAGGGCGUGUAGGCGGCGAGGUAAGUCGAAUGUGAAAUCUCACGGCUCAACCGUGAAACUGCGUUCGAAACUACCCUGCUUGAGUACGGGAGAGGUGUACGGAAUUCCUGGUGUAGCGGUGGAAUGC